UGCCAGCCGCCGCGGUAAUACGGAGGGGGUUAGCGUUGUUCGGAAUUACUGGGCGUAAAGAGCAUGUAGGCGGAUGAAUUAGUCAGUGGUAAAAUUGUCCAGCUUAACUGGAUUAUCGCCAUUGAAACUGUAGAACUAGAGUCAGUGAGAAGUAGGCAGAAUUUAUGGAGUAGCGGUGAAAUGCAUAGAUACCAUAAGGAAUACCGAUAGCGAAGGCAGCUUACUAGCGCUGUACUGACGCUUCAGCACGAAAGCGUGGGUAGCAAACAGGAUUAGAUA
rnacentral:rRNA from 1 species